rnacentral:rRNA from 1 species
UACGGAGGGUGCGAACGUUAAUCGGAAUCACUGGGCGUAAAGCGCGCGUAGGCGGUUUGUUAAGUGGGAUGUGAAAUCCCCCGGGCUUAACCUGGGAAUUGCAUUUCAAACUGGCCGACUAGAGUACGGUAGAGGGAGGUAGAAUUUCCUGUGUAGCGGUGAAAUGCGCAGAUAAUCAGGAGGAACACCGGUGGCGAAGGCGGGUCUCUGGGCCGAUACUGACGCUGAGGAGCGAAAGCGUGGGGAGCGAACAGG